GAAAGUAACACGGGACGAAAGUAACAAAGUGAUUUUCUCUGAGCCCUGACCACAUUUGCAUUUCAAGCUAUGACAGCACUUUCAGCACGCAGCCAGUGACGGAGCCGCAAAAUAUCACGUGAUUUCAUCAUUGUUUCCCGCUGUUAUGUCCUGAAAGCUGUUUUCGAGUACGAAUAUGCCAAGAGUGAGGGGCAGAAAGACAGACAGAGGUCUGAUUCAGCCAGAUGUGUAUGAGAGGGCGUUUCUGGACAUAUCUGUAAGACACAUUAGUCUUAGGGCAGCUGCAAAGUCGCAUGGCAUAUGCCAUGUCACUUUGCUCCGAUACUGCAGGAGGAGGGCAGAGAACAGCAGGGAGAAGACUAGACCACCAGGGUACAGGUCACACACCAAAGUCUUCUCUGUGGACCAAGAGAGGAAGCUGGAGGCUUAUAUUAAGAGGGCAGCUGAUAUUUAUUUUGGCCUGUCUCCUAAGGAGCUGUUUCUAGGUUUCACUAGAGGAACAUUGAGGAACAGCUGAUUUCGGUAGGUCACCCUCACAUUUUAUCCCUCACAUUUAGGUUAGCCAUACCUUAGCUUUUCCACCUCCACCUCCACCUAUGCAUUUUUUGUGUUUCCAUCCAGAUGUUUUUAUGCACAUUUUGAAUUUACACAUAAAAACAUGACUACUGAUAGAUUAUUUUGAGAUUUUAUGCUAAUUUAGUUUAAUUUUCAUAUUCUUCAUACUGUUGAAUGUUUUAUAAAAUGGAUUGACAUUGCCAAUAAAAAAAUAUUCUA